UCGAACGCUGGCGGCAGGCUACCACAUGCAUGUCGAACGGAUCCUUCGGGAUUAGUGGCGGACGGGUGAGUAACACGUGGGAACGUGCCCUUUGGUUCGGAACAACUCAGGGAAACUUGAGCUAAUACCGGAUGUGCCCUUCGGGGGAAAGAUUUAUCGCCAUUGGAGCGGCCCGCGUCUGAUUAGCUAGUUGGUGGGGUAAAGGCCCACCAAGGCGACGAUCAGUAGCUGGUCUGAGAGGAUGAUCAGCCACAUUGGGACUGAGACACGGCCCAAACUCCUACGGGAGGCAGCAGUGGGGAAUCUUGCGCAAUGGGCGAAAGCCUGACGCAGCCAUGCCGCGUGAAUGAUGAAGGUCUUAGGAUUGUAAAAUUCUUUCACCGGGGACGAUAAUGACGGUACCCGGAGAAGAAGCCCCGGACUAACUUCGUGCCAGCAGCCGCGGUAAUACGAAGGGGGCUAGCGUUGCUCGGAAUUACUGGGCGUAAAGGGAGCGUAGGCGGACUGUUAAGUUAGAGGUGAAAGCCCAGGGCUCAACCUUGG
rnacentral:rRNA from 1 species